rnacentral:rRNA from 1 species
UUUUAUUUCUAGUGAUUGGAAUGAUGGGAAUUUAAACCCCUUUCAGAGUAACAAUUGGAGGGCAAGUCUGGUGCCAGCAGCCGCGGUAAUUCCAGCUCCAAUAGCGUAUAUUAAAGUUGUUGCAGUUAAAAAGCUCGUAGUUGGAUGUCUGCUGGAAGCAAUCAGUCCGCCCUAUUUGUAGGGUGUGCACUUGAUGAAUUCUGGCAUCUAUGUCCCAAUAGUAUGUGAUGGUGUAUAUACCCUGUGUAUAUUAUACCAUCUAUAUUGGGAUAAUACCGUUACUUUGAGAAAAUUAGAGUGUUUGAAGCAGGCUAAUUGCCUUGAAUACUGCAGCAUGGAAUAACAAUAUAGGAUUUCGGUUCUAUUUUGUUGGUUUCUAGGACUGAAAUAAUGAUUAAUAGGGACAGUUGGGGGCAUUCGUAUUUAACUGUCAGAGGUGAAAUUCUUAGAUUUGUUAAAGACGAACUACUGCGAAAGCAUUUGCCAAAGAUGUUUUCAUUAAUCAAGAACGAAAGUUAGGGGCUCGAAGACGAUCAGAUACCGUCGUAGUCUUAACCAUAAACUAUGCCGACUAGAGAUAG